GCUAGGCUUAGGAAUUCUUAGUUGGCCUAGGAAGUCCAGCUAGUCCUGUCUCUCAGUCCCCCUCUCAACAGGAAAACCCAAGUGCUGUUGGGGAGGUUGGCUGAUGACUGCUCUGCUUCCUGCUGAAUUUGGGUGUAGUAGGGGUCGUGCAGUUGAGAGUUCCUCAGGAGGGGUGCCUUUGAUGUCAUCAACAUCGGAGCAUGGGCUAGUAGGCUGGUCCAGGGGUCUGCAGUAGAUCUUAGUCAUGGACUGUAUCUGGGGCUCCAUUUGAAGAACCAUUUGUAGUUUUACAGCUUCGAUUCUGGAAGAGACAAACUUAACAAGGAGGUUAAAGAUACACGGAUUGAAAUGUAUGGCCUGAAGUGCAGGGGCAUAUGGGUGUGGGUGGUGAAAGUGGGGUUUCCUUUAGAAAAACUCCUAUACAAUGGGGCAUCAAUAUUUCCGGGAAGCCGCAUUCUCCAUAGAAGCUCUUGGUAAGGGGAACUACUGGUAGUACAGCGGCAUAGAGGAGGUGCAGUGAGCAUGAAAGAGGGUAAGAGAACAGUAAAAAGAAAAAUAUGACAAGGGAGGGUCAUGGGGAUCUAUGAUUCUAGUUACUUUCCUCACGGUUGUUGCUUGAAGAGCAGGCGCAGAUCCUCUAGAGGUUCACAAGAAUAGCUAGCAUUGUCUCCUGGAUUUUCAGGUUCCUUUGGCAGUAUCCAGGGUUUGACUCAAGUGUGAUGUAUCCAAGACUCCACUCCAACCACUUUAACUGUGGUUGGGGUAGAUAAAAUGACUGGGUAGUGUCCAUCCCAGGAUGUGUCUAGGGAUGGGGAAUUAGAA
rnacentral:lncRNA from 10 species